UUUCUUUUCUGUGGGUUUUCUGCACUUCCUAGGUCCUUGCUCUGCAGUUUCCAAUAGAAAAGUCCUUGAGUCUCCAUCCAGGAGAGGUGGCUAGAAAGGACUACUUUCAUAGUUGGGCCAUCCUGCAAGCACUGUUUUCAAGAGCCUGAAAUUCAGAAAGCUGGAGCCAAGGAAGGAGGGGUCCUCUGGGAGGAUAGCUGUCUGGGCCACUGAAAAUAAAGUCC
rnacentral:lncRNA from 1 species